CCGCAGUUAACACAAUAAGUACCCCGCCUGGGGAGUACGGUCGCAAGACUGAAACUCAAAGGAAUUGACGGGGGCCCGCACAAGCGGUGGAGCAUGUGGUUUAAUUCGACGCAACGCGAAGAACCUUACCAAGACUUGACAUCCUGCUGCCGAGUGAUGUAAUGUCACUUUUCCUUCGGGACAGCAGAGACAGGUGGUGCAUGGUUGUCGUCAGCUCGUGUCGUGAGAUGUUGGGUUAAGUCCCGCAACGAGCGCAACCCUUGUCGUCAGUUGCCAUCAUUAAGUUGGGCACUCUGACGAGACUGCCGCAGACAAUGCGGAGGAAGGUGGGGAUGACGUCAAAUCAUCAUGCCCCUUAUGUCUUGGGCUACACACGUGCUACAAUGGUCGGUACAGAGGGCAGCGAAGGAGCGAUCCGGAGCCAAUCUCACAAAGCCGAUCCCAGUUCGGAUUGCAGGCUGCAACUCGCCUGCAUGAAGUCGGAAUGCGUAGUAAUCGCAGGUCAGCAUACUGCGGUGAAUACGUUCCCGGGCCUU
rnacentral:rRNA from 1 species